GUCAAGGUGGUGUAGUGGUUUGAGUGCUGGACUACAACUCUGGAGACCUGGGUUCAAUUCCUUGCUCAGCCA